rnacentral:rRNA from 1 species
UACGUAGGGGGCAAGCGUUGUCCGGAUUUAUUGGGCGUAAAGAGCGUGUAGGCGGCCUGACAGGUCUGCUGUGAAAACUCGAAGCUCAACCUCGAGAUGUCGGCGGAAACCGUCUGGCUAGAGUCCGGAAGAGGAGAGUGGAAUUCCUGGUGUAGCGGUGAAAUGCGCAGAUAUCAGGAAGAACACCUAUGGCGAAGGCAGCUCUCUGGGACGGUACUGACGCUGAGACGCGAAAGCGUGGGGAGCAAACAGGAUAG